rnacentral:rRNA from 1 species
UACGUAGGGUGCGAGCGUUAAUCGGAAUUACUGGGCGUAAAGCGUGCGCAGGCGGUUAUUUAAGUCAGGUGUGAAAGCCCUGGGCUUAACCUAGGAAUUGCGCUUGAGACUGGAUAGCUUGGAGUGCGGCAGAGGGAGGUGGAAUUCCACGUGUAGCAGUGAAAUGCGUAGAGAUGUGGAGGAAUACCGAUGGCGAAGGCAGCCUCCUGGGCCAACACUGACGCUCAUGCACGAAAGCGUGGGGAGCAAACAGG